AGUGCCGCGGCGGCCCGGAGGUGGCGGGAGGACGGCUCCGCGCUGCAUGCGGGGCGGGGACCAGGGACCCGUGCGGGCCGCCUCCAGAGAAUGAGGCUGCCAGCCUUGAGAGCACCACCGUUACCUGGUUGAAGAGGGGAGGGGAAGUCCAGCAUUGGCCUCUGCAGCGUGGAUCUCCCGGCCAGGCUCUCAGCUGUCAGGUGAGUCUCACCUCACACCUCUCAGAAGACAUGGACAAUGGCAGUGAAUGGAGCCAGGAGGACCCGGAGUGUCGGCUUGCCACUGAGAAACGGAGGGCAGGAAUCCUACAACCAGAACUCUGCGCCCCAGGAUGGAGGCUCCAGCCCAGAAGGCUGGGCAGGGAGGACUCCCCAAGGCCGAUGCCCAGGGUGCCUCCGGGGCCCGGGAGAAGAGGCCCGAGGAGCCGAGGCCCCUCGAAGAGGACCGAGCUGGGAGCCGCCCCACUCAAAAGGGGGACCUGCGUGGAGCGGCGGGCGGUAGGACGACUCCCCCAGGCGGGGGCUCCCGGGGCUGCAGCCUCGGGGUGAGCCCCGGCCCGGGGACCCGGCACAGCGCCGGGACCAGACCCCUCGUGCGGGAGCCGUGCGGCCCCACCUCUUCUCAGAACCCUGAGCUGGUUAUCCCCGAGGGGCUGCAAGCCCGGGAGGGCCCCUGUAGGAGCCCAGCGCGUGGCGGGGACUGCAGCAGGAACUCCUGCCUGGCGUGGCAUCGCGGGGCGCCCGCUGGGGAGACGCCACCCGUGUGUGACCCCUGUCCGGAGCGGAUCCAGAACCACCCCCGGACUCAACUGUGUGAGGUCCACACGGACUGUUGGCCGUGCCAACCAGGGACUGGCGCUCCGACCUGCCCGAGGACCCCAAAGCCGACCUCCCGCGGGAGGAACCCCUUGGUGGAGCAGCCCCGGGCUUGCGCGUGCGGCGAGGCCUUUGCGUGGAGGGCCCUGCGGAUCCCCCAGGAGAGGCUGCAGGCGACGGAGGAGCCCCGUCCGUGUGCCCGGUGCGGGAAGCGCUUCCGCCCCAACCAGCAGCAGCAGGCGGGCAAGAGUCCCCCAGUGUGUCCUGAGUGCGGCCAAACCUCGCGACCUCGCCCUAUUGUCCCCGACCCCCCGGCCCAGCGACUGUACGCUUGCGACGAGUGCGGCAAGGCCUUCACGCGCACCUCCAGCCUGCUGCAGCACCAGCGCAUCCACACGGGCGAGCGGCCCUACGAGUGCGCCGAGUGCGGCAAGGCCUUCGUGCGCUGCUCCGGCCUGUACCGCCACCAGAAGACGCACUCGGCCGAGCGCCACCGGCGUGGCCCCGUCCUGGCGCGGCGCGCCUUCCGGCUGGGGUGCCCGCCCUGCGGGGACUACAGCGAGCGGAGUCCCCGACGGGGGUCGGGAGCCGGGGAGAAGCCGUACGAGUGCGCCGACUGCGCCAAGGCCUUCGGGCUGUUCUCGCACCUCGUGGAGCACCGGCGCGUGCACACCGGCGAGAAGCCCUACGCGUGCCCCGAGUGCGGCAAGGCCUUCAACCAGCGCUCGAACCUGAGCCGGCACCAGCGCACUCACAGCAGCGCCAAGCCCUACGCGUGCCCACUGUGCGAAAAGGCCUUCAAGGGCCGCUCGGGCCUGGUGCAACACCAGCGCGCGCACACCGGCGAGCGGCCCUAUGGCUGCUCCGAGUGCGGAAAGACCUUCCGCGGCUGCUCCGAGCUGCGCCAGCACGAGCGCCUGCACUCGGGCGAGAAGCCCUACAUCUGCCGCGACUGCGGCAAGGCCUUCGUGCGCAACUGCAGCCUGGUGCGCCACCUGCGCACGCACACGGGCGAGCGGCCCUACGCGUGCGGAGAUUGCGGCCGCGCCUUCAGCCAACGCUCCAACCUCAACGAGCACCGGAAGCGGCACGGGGGCCGCGCCGCGCCUUGACUGCAGGGAGCCGAGAGUCGACGCGUCGCCCAAGCGAACCCUGCGUCGAGGAGGGGCCUUUGUCCCGGAAAACCCACCAACGUUUGUAACUUUGAUUAAACUUCACUUUGUACA